rnacentral:tRNA from 1 species
GGGCCCGUGGUCUAGCUGGUUAUGACGCAGCCCUGACGAGGCUGAGAUCCCCGGUUCGAAUCCGGGCGGGCCCA